CCUACGGGUGGCUGCAGUGGGGAAUAUUGGACAAUGGGCGAAAGCCUGAUCCAGCCAUGCCGCGUGUGUGAAGAAGGCCUUCGGGUUGUAAAGCACUUUCAGUGGGGAAGAAAGCCUUGGGGCUAAUACCCUCGAGGAAGGACAUCACCCACAGAAGAAGCACCGGCUAACUCCGUGCCAGCAGCCGCGGUAAUACGGAGGGUGCGAGCGUUAAUCGGAAUUACUGGGCGUAAAGCGCGCGUAGGCGGUCUGAUAAGCCGGUUGUGAAAGCCCCGGGCUCAACCUGGGAACGGCAUCCGGAACUGUCAGGCUAGAGUGCAGGAGAGGAAGGUAGAAUUCCAGGUGUAGCGGUGAAAUGCGUAGAGAUCGGGAGGAAUACCAGUGGCGAAGGCGGCCUUCUGGACUGACACUGACGCUGAGGUGCGAAAGCGUGGGUAGCAAACAGGAUUAGAUACCCCGGUAGUC
rnacentral:rRNA from 1 species